UCCUUAAUUAUAAUAAAUAUAAACAAAUGUGCAUCGUCAAUUCAGUAUUAAUGGUAGGGCAUUUGUUCCCUUGAAUAGCUUGAGAAUUUUUUUUGUUUUACUUCAUUUAAUGAUUUUAUUUGGAUUACGCUAAUGUUGCGAAUGCAAUUGCUUUUUUCCCUGAAGAGGCCUUUAGGGAAGAGUACGGUCGGGAAAUGAACGAAAUUUAAUGUGACAGGUUAUUAGAUUAGGAGAAAUGUAUGUGAAACUAGGGCAUAUCUGUUAUUUUUGUUAAAUCGAAAAAUGGGAUUAAACUAACACUAACACUACCACUUAAGUCAUUUUUAUUUUAUUUAUUAUUAUUUUUUUAUAAUUUGAUAAAAGCUUUUUUCUGAAUUGAUAUUAUUAUUAUUAUUCCAACUUUAGGCACUGACCUUCUCAUUCAGUACCUAUAUGGUUCCUACAUUACUUUGCGUUUAGAUAGUAAAUACUGCUGUUAUUCAAUUAUUACAACUAUAUCUGUUUUCCAACGAAUUUCCUUAUUUCUUACAACUCUUCUUCCACUAUUUUAUGUAUAGAUUUAUUUUAUCUUUUAUUUUUUACUUUUUAAAUUAGUAUAAGCAUUGAUUGUAUUCUUAAUGUUACCAUCAUUUCAACCAACUGAUUAUAUAUAAACUCUUACUGCUGUUACAAACGUCCCUAUUUCUAUUUUAAUUUUUUUAUAUUUUCUGUUUUUACCUAACAUUCCAUAAAGUUAUUAUCCCAAAAACCCAUAAAUGAUCCAAUAUUUAACGUUUCAAUGGAAAACCCCAUCCUGACCCCAUUAAGCAAAAUGAACGCCAACCUGAUGGAAGGCGUGCAACAGAGACAAAAACUCUGUUUGUCCACACUUAGAAGCUCGGGCAUCUUGAAGAUUGCAUUGUUGUAAAACUCCGUCAAUCAAAGAUUUUACAUCAAAGUCUUCCUCAACCAUGCGUUCGUUUUGCGAACACCACGUGCGAUAGUUAUUUUCGACCAUUUCGAUAAUUGAAGAGGUUUUAAAGCAAGCACCAAUGGUUUUAUUUUUCCUUAAAAACACAAUCCGUAACAGACCAUCCCAUUCCUCAAAAGCCAAUGGAGGGGGUGGAUUUUUUGGUUCUAUCCGAACAACACUUGAUUCAACCAAAGGUGGUGGUCGAAAGUUAUUCUUUCCAACUUUCAUGAUAUGCUUGACGUGAGCCCACAUUUGCACAUUGGCGGAUAAUCGACAGUACAAAGGGUCACCAGGCCUUGCAACCAAGCGUAAAGCAAAUUCUCUCUGGAACAUAAGAAUUGCCGCACGAGGAGCCGGUCUCUGCUGUAAUAAUUUAAAUACCAAUGGUGAGGAAAUUUGAUAAGGCGUAUUAGACACGCAUACAUCAAAGUAAGGAAGGUCGGUCUUAAUCACAUCACCAAGUACCACCUGCAAUUUCUUUUCCUUUGGUGUCCCUUGCACACGCUUGGUGAUUUCUGCAGCCAUUCGGGGGUCCAUUUCAACAGCAAUUACUUUACGCGCCUUCUCAAGCAUCCUUACUGUCAAGUUACCAGUACCUGGUCCUACUUCCAAAACAGUAUCGGAUUGCUUCAAAUCAGCCUAUUUGUCUUAUGUUAGAAAAUAAACCUCGUUGAAAAAUUAUCGCAAUUUUACCUACCUUAUCCACAAUUCCCUGAGCAACCAGUGGGUUUUUAAGGAUAUGCUGGCCAAAAUCUUUGUUGAAUUUGAAAACUGUAUUCCUCACUUCUGCAUCAGAAGCUGCAUUGUUAUUCCUAACCCGAAUCUUUCCCAUGGCUGUUCUCGUAACCAAAAGGAUUUGGUACAGGGCAAAAACUAGUUUCGCAGGUUUGCAAACUGCUGCCGUUUAGUGAAGCAAAUUCUUCUCAGUCGUAAUCAAGUUAGCGAAGUAAGUUAAUUUUUAAAUGUUAACUACACAGUUUGGUAUCGUUUUCAACGAUAUGUAGAAGUGCCGUAAGUUUUUCUUGU